GCAAUGAAAAUAUUUUUCUUUGUCAUCAACCUUUUUUGAAACCUGUUUCUUGGGCUUGGCCUCAUUCUUUUGCUUUUUUGCAGACUUUUUCUUCUUCUUGAAAGAAGACUUUCUUUUGGAGGAAGCCCACUCCACAGCUAGAACUAUGCCCCUUGAACUUUUCAAGGUGCCCUCUGCAGUCACCAGUAUAUUCAAUAAUGCUGG
rnacentral:lncRNA from 1 species